AUUCCACGCGGACGGAGUCGCGGGCGAAAGCUAGUUGCAUUAUAAUGAUAAUAUUAUUUAUGUAUUAACUUACUAAACCAUAGUAAUACAAAAUAGGUUCGUCGCUGUCGUCACAGAGUGUUGGAGUACAUAAUGUUAUAAAGAGAAAUAUCUGAAAUGUCGACAUGACCAACGCUGGGCAACGCUGGCGCACUGUCGUUAUAAUACUCACAUAGUGUGCUCAGUUCAAAUGGGUCGCGACCUGAAUCGAUAAGAUACCGCAAUACGAGUUGUUCUCGGCAAAUCGCUUUUAUUUAUUUUCUUACGUUACUCAACGAGCAAGAAUGUUCAGUUGAAGAAACAGUUACUAGGUAUCCGUAAGAGUGGUGAGAACAUGUCGACAUUCCUGAGCUGCCUGGAGACGGAGCGCGACCUGCUCGUCGACUACUGGACCUCCGUCGAGGGUCAGGAGCUGCUGAGAGCGGACCACGCCAACGUGUAACGUGGGAACUUGACACGUCGACGACUUAGCGAAUCUUAUAUCUGUUCUCUCGAUUAAUUUACUUUAUGAAAUGUCUUUUAUGAAUGAAAUAUUUAAACUUAUAUUUGGACUAAAUUAAUACAGCUGUAUCAUCAUGAUAGUUAAAUGUUACCGUUUUUUAUCUGUGUCACUUGUCAGUAUCGGUUUGGCUUCACUGCGCACGCUUCAUACAAUAUGUAAAUCUUCAAUCGUCAAACAGACAAUAAAUGUAAUAUGGUGUUUUCGGCUUUAAAAAUAUUAUUUACAUUUCUCAAAUAUAAUUUAAUUGCAAUUAAAGUAUAAAUAUAUAAUCAUGUUCUGCAAUUUGAAAAAUUAUAUUUUGUCAUAAUUGGAUAAAUCAUUGAAAUAAUCAUGUAAGUAAACAAUGUGACCUUAUUCUGGUUGUAUCGGCAAAGCUGUCGACACUAAUACUAUACUAAGAGAAAAGAAAUCAAUAUUUCUUGUUAGCUUUUAACCGGUUUUAUUUUUGUCAACUUUAAAUGGUCCAUUUAAAGAACUUUUAAUCACUGAUUAAUGAUUUUAUUAAAAUAUCUGAUUUUUUAAUUGGUACUAUUUUAACCGAUAUCGCUGUUUGAAUGAAUUUAUUAUAUUUGGAUGUUUGGGUUAGUUAUAAAUCUAGAAAGUUAGUUUCUAAUUUUUUUUUAUCAAAUAACUAUUGAGUUUCCUUUUUAUCGAAAAUUGAGACUAAUUUAUUAUUAUAAACGAUUGUUUGUUUUAGACAUAAAAUUAAUAGAGAACUUGAAACUCGGAAGUGGUUUUGUAUGUUUGAACUGGGACUUAGUUUUAAGAUUUAGAUUAUGUUCAUGUUACGUUGUAGAUGAAAUUGUUUAUUUGUUUUAGAUGUUAAUGUUUAUGAGUUUAUACUACAUUAAUGUUAGUGUCAUAGAUUUAUAACCUAUAUAUAUGUUGGUGCCACCGCCCAAAGUUGAGGUAAAAAAAUUAUUUUGUUCGAGUAAAUUCCAUCAGUGUUGUCAUUUAUGAUACAAUGUGUCAUUUCGAAAAUUGACUCUUUUCGACGUCAAACUAAACUGUCCAUUUAUAGGUUAUAUGUCUAUGGUUAGUGUAUAUUAUUCAGCCAAAGUUCUGUAUUCAAUGUUACAUUGUUUUUAAACCAUAACGUCACAUAACGUUUAGUGCAAUCCAUUCCUUUUGUGUACGAAAUCGAUAAAAUCUUCAUACAUAUUAUAAAUUAACUUUCUUAGGUUUAAUGAAUUUUGUUUAACUAUAGUUACAUUUAAGUGUAGCGUUAAUUUAUUUCUUUUUCUGUUUCUUGGAAAAUAAAGUGCCUUGCGUAAUUAUAAUA